AUUGGAGGGCAAGUCUGGUGCCAGCAGCCGCGGUAAUUCCAGCUCCAAUAGCGUAUAUUAAAGUUGUUGCGGUUAAAAAGCUCGUAGUUCGAGUUCAGUUUCGGACUGGGGUGGGAGGUCACCGCCCGGUGCUUCCCCUUUAGGCUCCGAACAGCUUCCUUAUGUGGAAGCCAAGCCGGUUCUGCCGGGGUGCUCUUUACCGAGUGUCCCGCGCGGCCGGCCAGUUCACCUUGAAUAAAUGAGAGUGCUCAAAGCAGGCUACUCUGGAAUACAAUGCCCGAAUGUUAACUGCAUGGAAUGAUGGAAGAUGAUCUCGGUUCCAUUUUGUCGGUGGUGGGAGCCAGAGGUAAUGAUAAAGAGGGACUGUCGGGGGCAUCCGUACUACGACGCGAGAGGUGAAAUUCAGUGACCGUCGUAGGACGAACAACAGCGAAAGCAUUUGCCAAGAAUGUCUUCGUUGAUCAAGAACGAAAGUUAGAGGAUCGAAGGCGAUCAGAUACCGCCCUAGUUCUAACCCUAAACGAUGCUGACUAGCAAUUCGCCGUCGUUAUUCCCAUGACGUGGCGAGACGCCCCCGGGAAACCUCAAGUUUUUGAGUUCCNGGGGUAGUAUGGUUGCNAAAGUGAAACUUAAAGGAAUUGACGGAAGGNNNCCCCNGGAGUGGAGCCUGCG
rnacentral:rRNA from 1 species